ensembl:lncRNA
GUGGCCUCUGAAGCUCUCAGAGGGAUCUGUGCAGCCUCAUCACCUCAAUUGUGAGCACACUCCGUGGGGCUGGGUUCAGUUCAGCCUGGCACAAAGAAUUCUGCAAGCUCUCUCUCGUGAGACGAUCCCAUUUCUUGCUGCCAGCCAGGCUUCCCUCAGCCCCGUGUAACCGCUGCCUCCACUCCGCACGUGAUGUUUGCAAGGAACAGAGCAGGACUGUGAAUGUAGCAUUUACACGAAUAUUUUGUACAUCAUCUUUAAGAGCAGUUUCCCUGUUAAAGACACAGACAAGGUUUCCUGCCAAGUUUUCUCUUGAAACCCAGAUGACACAGAACCAAAUGGGCUGGAUCCUCUCUGUAGCAGCCAUGCCGAAGUGCACAAUUUUGGGUUGUGCUUGCUAGCAGUGAGCAUGGCUCUCUAACACAGCUGUUGCAAAUGCUCCCUCUUUUCCAGCACUCAGUGGGACUGACAAAGAACUGGGAGCGAGUCAAUUUUAAACAGUGCUACACAAUAAGAUGCAACUUUUCCAAUCAAGUUUUGAAGUUGAACAAGAUGAAAACCAAAAAAGCUUUCAGUGGUGUAAUGACAUGAUAGCGUCAAUUGCGUGCGCCUGGAGGGAGCAGAAGAGCACACACCGGACAUAAAUGCGCACUUAACUCAGGAAACUCAUAGACGUGAAGGUAUGAAGUAGUGCCGUGUACUUUGAAAUCUAAUAAAGAGGCCUAAUUUUUAGAUCUCACUGAGAGCUGCUGGCUGCACAGAACCCUUGCCAAUCAAAUCGACCUUUUUGCCUUGCUUCCCAAGUAAAGGUGGGAGCUGGCUUUGACAAUCAUCAUCCGAGUUUUUCCAGGUUGAUUUCAAUGGGAGUUUGGCUGAAGGCUUUGAAGAAGAGAAGGUUUCCCCUCUACUGUUGAAAAUUGUGGUUGCAGCUGAUACUGCAUUGAGGUACAAUAUGAUGAUUUCAACGGCAAAUAGUACUUAGAAGAAAUUAAAUCAUCAUUUAUCCACAGCUUUCACUCUCUGCUGCCCAGCAGAUCUCUCUUGAAUCUUGAGUGUCUUUGUGUUGGUUUAUUUUAUUUCCACAAAAGUUCAGGCAGGAAUUUUUCCUCCCCAAGU